rnacentral:rRNA from 1 species
UACGGAGGGAGCUAGCGUUGUUCGGAAUUACUGGGCGUAAAGCGCACGUAGGCGGCUUUGUAAGUUAGAGGUGAAAGCCCGGGGCUCAACUCCGGAACUGCCUUUAAGACUGCAUCGCUUGAAUCCGGAAGAGGCGAGUGGAAUUCCUGGUGUAGCGGUGGAAUGCGCAGAUAUCAGGAGGAACACCAAUGGCGAAGGCAGCUCGCUGGGACGGUACUGACGCUGAGGUGCGAAAGCAUGGGGAGCGAACAGG